UACCAGCACCCCGAGUGGUCGGGACGUUUAUUGGGCCUAAAGGCAUCCGUAGCCGGUUCUACAAGUCUUCCGUUAAAUCCAGCUGCUUAACAGAUGGGCUGCGGAAGAUACUAUGGAGCUAGGAGGCGGGAGAGGCAAGCGGUACUCGAUGGGUAGGGGUAAAAUCCGUUGAUCCAUUGAAGACCACCAGUGGCGAAGGCGGCUUGCCAGAACGCGCUCGACGGUGAGGG
rnacentral:rRNA from 1 species